UCCUGACUCAAUAGCCUUCCCAGCUGCGGGGUGGAUUGUCCAUCACCACAUUGAACGCAGUUGGUCUGCCAGAGGGAGACAAAGGGCAGGGAGAUCUGGAGCCUUCAAUAAAUCCUGUAGUGAGGUAUUCCUGAUGUCCCUGACUCAGCACAAUUCCCAAUUCCUGUCUCGUCCAUCACCACAUUGAAGACGGUUGGUCAGCCAGAGAGAGAUGGAGAGUGAGAUCUGGAGCCUUCAGUAAAUCCUGCAGCCAAAUGUGACAAAACCCAUUUACGGCUCAUUGAGAAAGUACAGAGCAUGGGAUACAUGGAAACCUGUCUGUCUGGAUACAGAAUUCCUGGC